UGUCAUUUUACUAAUAGUAAAAAUAAGUCGUUUUUAGUUACAUAUAUAAAAUGACAAAAUAAGAAAAUCAGUAUAUACACUGAAAAAAGGGUUUGGUAUUGACAACCAAAUGUUUGGUUGGUAUUUAAGGGGGGAACACCAGUUGUAACUUUCGAAAAAUCAAUUUUUUUUUUUGUGCAUUUUCUUAAAGUACACAUAUUUAGAAAUGUGUCUGUAAAUUUCAAAGUUGAUCCGGUGAAAAAUAAAUGAGAUAUACAGAACACUGCAUCGGCGCGUCCCGUGGCUUCAUACAAGGUGGCCAGCCAUAACUGACCCUAACGACAGAUGGCCUUUUCCUAUGAUUUAGAAACGGCAACCACUGCGGAAGAGUUAUUAUAUGGUCCAAGAAUCGAUGACUCUUUGUAACUUGGAAACAAAAUUUCUUCUGAACAAAAAAAAACGAAGUAUACUUGCAGAAUGCUGGUCACCGCAAUUCGCCUUUUUUCUUAAGACGCCACUUCAAUGGCUCAUAUCUCCAAAAGUUUUUGUUAAAAAAAUUUUUUUUUUCUUUUAAAUUACAGCUUUUUACAUGUACUUUUAACUAAUAAAUAGUAUUCUUUAAAAAGA